rnacentral:lncRNA from 1 species
ACCCCCCUCCCUAGGGUUUGCUUAGGAAAUUGCGUGGUUCCUAACCCAAACCCAACCCACCUUCUUCUCUCUCUCCGUCUCUCUCUCUCUCUCUCUUUCUCUCCCAUGGUGGAUUUCUAUAUUUAGUGGCCUAGAUCGGGUGUGACUCAAACCCCACACCUUCCUUUUUUCCCUCUCUCAAACAUAAACAGAGAUAAUCAUGGAGCUUUUUCCCCAAGAUUAGUAACUGGGUUUUGCUUGCUUUGUGGCAAUUCAAACGGGUUUUGUGGGGCUUUCCUCCAUUUUCUUUGAUUUUGACCCUUAUUUUCUUCCUCGCCAAACACCUUUCUCUCUCCCUCUUUCUCUUCCGUACAUAUAGAUAUUUAUAUACACCCCCACUACUCCUCUCUUCAUCAUCCCUCCCACCUGAUUUCCUGGUUUUACACUAAUCCCCAUAAUUCGUCUUCUAAUCUUUCAAAACAUUCAUUUUCUUGGAGAAUCUUAAUCAGGGUUCCUCAAACCAUGCCUCGUAUACCCUCAGAAGACAUGUGUGUAUGUAGAUUCAAAUAUGCAUACAUGAUUACAUGCAUAUCUCAUGCUAUAUAUUCAUUACAUGAAUUCAUGAUACAUGUAUAGAUAUAUAUAUAUAUAUAUAUAUAUAUACACAUAUAUGUGUAGGCAUGAGGUACGCAUGUGAGUGUUGUGCCUGGCUCCCUGUAUGCCAUUUGCAGAGCCCACCGAGCAUCGCUGGCCUCCGUGGAUGGCGUAUGAGGAGCCAUGCAUACUCCCACAUAUAUUAUCCAUGCCUCUUUUUUUUUUGUCUUCUGCAGAUUUUUCCUCUUCCCUGUAAGGGUAGUUUCGUUAUUAUAGGAGGGAACUGAGGGCAGCAAUGUAAUUUCGGGAGGGUGUUUGGGAUUGCAAUUUUGCAGAUGAAAUUUCCUGAUCUUCUCUGAACAAAGGUACUUCUUCUACUUCACAUAUAUCUCUUAUUCUAUUUCCUUCCUGCAUGCUCAUAUUUUGGGUACUUGGGUGAUGUUUCUGCAGAUAAACCAUAUGUAUACAUGUAUACAUAGACCAUAUAUACAUAUAUAUAUAUGUAUAAACUUUUCUUGAGUGGUAAACUAAAAAAUGCGUGGAAGAAUAUUACCGAUGGUUUCUCGAAUAUUCCAAGAGUUUCAGAUCCUCCACAUAUAUAUAUACACAUAUAGGUACUUGGGCAAUUUUCCAGCUAUGGAAAACAAAUAUGUAUAUAUGUAUAUAUAUAUCCACAAACCUAAAUCACAGGGAUUCAUUACAACUGUAAACCUGUCCAACCGAAACAUGUAUGUAAACGAGACUAAAUCUUCAUAGGUAAUAAUAUUAUAAGCUGUUAUUUUGCACAAAUCACAUAACCGAGUAAUUCUUAUAAUGAAUUAUAUCAUCAAAUAACAUUUGCUUCAUCACUUAUUAAUUAGUUGUAAUAUAUAUACACAUGUAUGUUUAUAGCUAGAUCCAGUUUAUAUGUAGACGUGUGUGUAUAUAUAUGUAGUGCUGGAAUAUGAUUAUAGCCAUUUGAUAUAUGGACGUAUUAUGAUUAUUAUACCAGCUGUCUGUGUUUGUUAAUGAUAAUUAGCUUAUUUAGUUCACUUAAAACCAAGUUGCUCAGUUAUGUAUAUAUAUAUAUAUAUAUACACACACAAGAACAUAUUUAUAUAUAUGGGAUUUUAUGAAAUGAGAUCCCAUUUGAUCUCAUAAGCUAGCUGCUGGGCUGGGGUUUAAGAGAAAACCUACAUGAUCAAACACAAAAGCCAACAUAAAAUAAUGAACUAGUAUAUUAUAUAUAUAUAUAUAUGGAGUACAUUACAUAUAUAUAUUUUUAUUAAACUAACUAGUAAUUAAGGUUAGUUUCUUGAUUAACAAAACAGACGUUUUUCCUGACCCAUAAUAGACAUGAUUGUUAAUGCACCUUGUUGUCAAUAGCUACUGGAACUACUAGUACUAAUCAUGAGUAUUUUCCACAGUACAUAUACGCAUAUACAUAUAUAAUAUAGCAAUUGUAUCAAUAUCGUGUUCUAUUAUAUUUUAGUUAGAAAGAGUUUAUGCAUAUAGGUUUUAAAAAUUAAAAAAUGGUAAUAAAAAGAGACAUAUGUGUAUACAUCACAAUGUAUCUAUCAAGCUAAGUUGGUCAAGCAAGAUAUGGAGGUACAAAACCUAUCCAUCUUUACGUAAUAUCUUUCUUUCUCAUUUUCUUUCUCUUUCUCUGUCACCAAACAAGGGAAAGUGUGUGAAAGAAAUUAUCAAAGUUAUGGAAAAGAAAAGUAAAAGUGAUGAUGAUGAUGGUGAUUAUAGGUAGCUAUAUACUAUAUACUGUACUGUGUGUUUGGGAGUGGGGGAAUCUAAAUGGACCACCUUCAAACUCUGAUUCAACAAUAGGUUAUUAUAAUAAAUAUAUAUAUAUAUAUAGAUAUACGGUCAAAGCAGGUCAAAUAUAAAGAAAAAGAAAAGGACAUUGCUCAGUCCAAAACACUUUGGACCACCUUCAAGAUCUCCUGAAAUCAAUUGGAUCUCUUCCUUUUUCUUUUUAAUUAAUACAUAUACAUACACAUACAUAUAUAUAAUUGAUUUAUGAUAUACAGAGAACUUGUGGUUGAUCUACCCAUUCAAUGUAAUUAAUAAAACAUGACCAAUAUAUAUGUAGAUAUACAUAUAACUCAUGAGUAAACUUACUUAGAUUUUUGUCCAAGUUAUACAAUAAUAAUCAGUAAAAUAAAUGGAAAAUAUACAUAACCCAUAAGAUGUUUUCAUGUUAGGUUGAUAAGAAAUUAAUGUUUAUUAUAUCAUAUCACGCACUAUAUUACAGUUGAUGUGUGCGUGUGUGUGUGUGUGUGUAUGUAUAUAUCGAUAAUUUAAAAGAAGUAAUUAUUUUUUCACAUGAGCUGCAUGCUUGCGGCCUCACAUACAGAACAUUCUCCCUGGAUGGAUCUGCAGAGAUGAAAAAAAGAAGGGAGGUGGGAGGUGGGAGGUGGAAUAGGGCGGGGUCCACCUUCUUCCUCCUUUCAUUGUGUUUUAUGCUGUUGCAGGUUGUACCCUGUACGCGAUCAUCAUGAUCAGUCUCUCAGAAAGUAGAUUCUGUAUCCUCCUCUCUAUAGCCCUUAGCAUACAUGUAAAUACAUAUAUAUAUAUAUAUGUACAUCUCUCUCUCUGUCUCUCAAUUUCUGAUGAUCAUCAGAAAUAUUAUAUAAAACACAAAAAGAAUAGAAGGGGAAAGAAUAAAUAUAAUGUCAUUUAAUUUCUUGCAAUCGUAUACUAUUACAUUAUUAUAUUAUAUAUAACGAAUUAUAAUGAGAAUAUACAAAUGCAUGGUGCACAGCAAGCUAGACUAGCCAAAUGAUUUCUUGAUGGGUACGGAAAUUAAAGAAAAAGUUGAUGGGAAAUUAUGACAUUAUUGUGUUUACAAUCUGUCAUACAGGGAUACAUAUACAUUAAUAUAUAUAUAUAUAUAUAUAUGAAAUUCAUCAUGUCGAUCGACCUGAUCCCAUCUUUUUAGGAUUUUCAUGUAACUCAAGAGGAAUAGUAACCUCACGAUAAAUCUUCUUUCCUUUUUUAAUAAUACUGUACUGGGAAUUCAAAGAAAAAGUAGGAGCAAUUAAUUAAAGCCUGAUUCUUUUAAUCUUUUGAUUACUUGUUUUUGUUUACUGAAGUUUAAUACUUAAUCAGAUCGUAUGUGUGUGUGUAUAUAUAUAUAUAUAUAUAAUGAUCAGUGUGUUGUUACCAUCACUAUAUGUAUAAUUUGUAUCUGAAAUACGACCUCCGUAUAUGUAGUACUUAUAGAACUAUUUACAAAAACCAAGUCCGACAGUACUACGUAGAAAUAGAAAGAUUCAUGGAGGUUAUGGAAAAUGGAUAUAUUUGUAUAUACAUAUAUGUCUGUGCAUAUAUAUAUAUAUAUGUGUGUGUGUGUGUCUGCAAGAAGUUAGCUUUUGGUAGAGGUUGUGUGUCUAGAGGGUAAAAGAUCUGCAUAUGGUAGUGCAAGCCUGUAUCUCAUGCUUUGAAAUGUGUCGUUUUACUUUUCAGCCAUAGAUUUCCAAUACGUCUGCUCUUUCCUAUAUAUAUAUAUAUAUACAUACACAUAUACAUAUAUAAUUAUAAAAGCACACGCUUUCUUCUUAUCAAUUCCUGUGUAAAAAAACAGCCC